CCCUCUUCCCCUUUUUCUUUUAUUCUUUCCAGGUUGACCUCUUGCCACAUAUAGAACCUCAUCUGACCAAAAGAGACAGCUGUUCAGUUGGAGCACCAAGAUUGUUAAGAAGAGUAUGAAUGAAUUGGACAUCUUAGUUCAGCAUUAAGCCACUUAGAAAUGCGCCAGUGUGAUACCCAGAUAUUCAACAACCCGAAGGAAAAACAAAAUACAUUGAUUUUUUACUUCAAGAAAAAUGCUACAGAUAACAAGCUGUGAACAGUUAGAUUUUGAUCUGAUUUCUGACAUGGAAUUGAUUUCAUAGGGUGAACAGAUCUUAACUCAUCUUGAAAGAAGAGGAAAACAGAAAGAGAUGUGCAAGAUAAAAAUAACUCUGAAUCUUAAGACAGUCAAUUUCAAAACUAGAGAGUAUUUCUUUUUCCCAAAUCCAGUGUAAGAAAAAGUCAGUUUCAUUCCUGAUGUGUAUUGAUAAGCAUUAUCUAAAAGUGCAGCCAACACUCAAUGGUAAUUCAAUCAAAAGCCAUAAGUAACUCCUGAAUAGGUGCUAAAUUACUACCAAUCUACACAAGAUUGCCAAUAUUCAUACCAGAAAACACUUGUAGCACAUUGAACAAGAGCAGCUGAAUAACAUAGAAGUACUUCAGUACUAUCAAGAUGGGCUUCAAAUAG
rnacentral:misc_RNA from 1 species